GGAGUGGGAGGGUUACUAAUCUUCAGUGCUAUUCUUGCUCUGUCUCUAAUACUUAUCAAAGAACUGAACAUUACAGUUGUAUGGUUGCCUUACCUAGCUAUCGUGUCUGUGAUAUGUUACAUUAUUGCAUUUGCCUCAGGUCCAGGAUCAAUACCAUGGUUUAUGGUUGCUGAGAUUUUUUCGCAAGGUCCACGAUCAGCGGCAAUUUCUGUGUCCACCAUGGUAAACUGGUUCUCGAACUUCACAGUUGGACUACUUUUCCCUUUAUUGAAUGAGCUGGCAAUUCAUCAAUACUCCUUCCUUCCGUUUGUGGUGCUGUUGAUUAUAUUCUUAAAC